GACGAACGCUGGCGGCGUGCUUAACACAUGCAAGUCGAACGGAAAGGCCCUGCUUGCAGGGUACUCGAGUGGCGAACGGGUGAGUAACACGUGGGUGAUCUGCCCUGCACUUCGGGAUAAGCCUGGGAAGCUGGGUCUAAUACCGGAUAGGAGCCAUUUUUAGUGUGAUGGUUGGAAAGUUUUUUCGGUGUAGGAUGAGCUCGCGGCCUAUCAGCUUGUUGGUGGGGUAAUGGCCUACCAAGGCGGCGACGGGUAGCCGGCCUGAGAGGGUGGACGGCCACAUUGGGACUGAGAUACGGCCCAGACUCCUACGGGAGGCAGCAGUGGGGAAUAUUGCACAAUGGGCGCAAGCCUGAUGCAGCGACGCCGCGUGGGGGAUGACGGCCUUCGGGUUGUAAACUCCUUUCGCUAGGGACGAAGCUUUUUGUGACGGUACCUAGAUAAGAAGCACCGGCUAACUACGU
rnacentral:rRNA from 1 species